rnacentral:Y_RNA from 1 species
GGCUGGUCCAACAGUAGUGAGUUACAUCACUUGAUUGUUCACAGUCAGUUACAGAUUGAACUCCUUGUUCGAAUCCUUCCCCUCUUCUCACUACUGCACUGGACUAGUCUAAA